GUGCUCACUUUGACGGCACAUAUACCAAAACUGGAACUAUUCAGAGAUUAGCACGGCCCCUGCGCAAGGAUGACAUGCGUAUUUGUGAAGCAUUUUAUAUAUUU
ensembl:snRNA U6 U6 spliceosomal RNA